ACUAGUAAAAGUAGAUGGCUCAGGCUCUAUAUCAAAUUGUGGCCAUCCUGAUCAAUUGUUCUUCAAUCCCAUAUGAUCCUGGAAACACCUCAUACAUUU